GGGGAUGUAGCUCAGUGGUAGAGCGCAUGCUUUGCAUGUAUGAAGUCCUGGGUUCAAUCCAAAGCACCUUUU
rnacentral:tRNA from 1 species